AGAAAAGUAAGCUAACAUAAGCUAAUGGGUUCAUACCCCAUCCAUAGAGUGUAUACUCUCUUCUCUA
rnacentral:tRNA from 2 species